CCGGAGCCGGAACCGGAGCCGGAACCGGAGCCGGAGCCGGAGCCGGAACCGGAGCCGGAGCCGGAACCGGAAUUGGAUCCGAGAUUGGAUUGGAAGUUAAUACCAAUUGAAAAGCUGACGGUGAAUGAUUUGGCUAGCCGUUAUGACGACGACCCUUCUCUUUUUUGGUUUUCAUGUCCGCAAUUUGUGUAUAAGAAUAAAGCUUAUAUUAAAAGUGAGGAGGACUCAGCGAAAGCCGGGGCUGAGUAUUUAGAGCUCUCUCGUGGCAUAUCUCCCUUCGAUGCUAUUCCUGUUCCACCCUUAGCAUUUGUUGAUCGUUGUGGCACUAACUUUACCCGUCCCCUGAAACUAACACAACAACGUCGCCCUCUUCUUACUUACCUCUCCAAUCGUGCUCUGAAAAAGUUUAAUGCUAAGAAUAAGGGUUCAAAUUAUGUGUUUGAUGAACUUGUUAAGGCAACCCGUCGUCGACUUCCUCUUGUUACUUAUUACAUUACCUUUAAAGCAAAAGAUGCUGCCCAUCCUCAUACUUCCGACAGCCCUGCGACAACUUUCCAGGCGCACGUCCGGAGGAAGCUGUCUACAAAGUGUGUGGUCAAAUCGUGUUCCAUUAAAACCUAACACCCACACCAUGGUACAUGGCUAACUACAUACAUAACAGAGGAAAUCAUGUCCAUUGCAUUGCAUCCACAUGUUAUGAAACUGGUUUUGGUUGUGUUAGACAUGUCAAGGUGAAAGCAAUGGUUCAUCACGGUUCUAUUCAAGAGGGAAACAUAUCAAUUUUAUGAAAA